GUCAUUUAGAGGAAGUAAAAGUCGUAACAAGGUUUCCGUAGGUGAACCUGCGGAAGGAUCAUUACCGAGUGAGGGCCCUCUGGGUCCAACCUCCCACCCGUGUUUAUUUUACCUUGUUGCUUCGGCGGGCCCGCCUUAACUGGCCGCCGGGGGGCUUACGCCCCCGGGCCCGCGCCCGCCGAAGACACCCUCGAACUCUGUCUGAAGAUUGUAGUCUGAGUGAAAAUAUAAAUUAUUUAAAACUUUCAACAACGGAUCUCUUGGUUCCGGCAUCGAUGAAGAACGCAGCGAAAUGCGAUACGUAAUGUGAAUUGCAAAUUCAGUGAAUCAUCGAGUCUUUGAACGCACAUUGCGCCCCCUGGUAUUCCGGGGGGCAUGCCUGUCCGAGCGUCAUUUCUGCCCUCAAGCACGGCUUGUGUGUUGGGCCCCGUCCUCCGAUCCCGGGGGACGGGCCCGAAAGGCAGCGGCGGCACCGCGUCCGGUCCUCGAGCGUAUGGGGCUUUGUCACCCGCUCUGUAGGCCCGGCCGGCGCUUGCCGAUCAACCCAAAUUUUUAUCCAGGUUGACCUCGGAUCAGGUAGGGAUACCCGCUGAACUUAAGCAUAUCAAUAAGCGGAGGAA
rnacentral:rRNA from 1 species